CCUACGGGGAGCAGCAGUGAGGAAUAUUGGUCAAUGGACGAGAGUCUGAACCAGCCAAGUAGCGUGAAGGAUGACUGCCCUAUGGGUUGUAAACUUCUUUUAUAUGGGAAUAAAACGUUCCACGUGUGGGAUUUUGUAUGUACCAUAUGAAUAAGGAUCGGCUAACUCCGUGCCAGCAGCCGCGGUAAUACGGAGGAUCCGAGCGUUAUCCGGAUUUAUUGGGUUUAAAGGGAGCGUAGGUGGAUUGGUAAGUCAGUUGUGAAAGUUUGCGGCUCAACCGUAAAAUUGCAGUUGAAACUGGCAGUCUUGAGUACAGUAGAGGUGGGCGGAAUUCGUGGUGUAGCGGUGAAAUGCUUAGAUAUCACGAAGAACUCCGAUUGCGAAGGCAGUUCACUGGACUGCAACUGACACUGAGGCUCGAAAGUGUGGGUAUCAAACAGGAUUAGAUACCCUUGUAGUC
rnacentral:rRNA from 1 species